rnacentral:lncRNA from 1 species
CUGAUUAUGGUCGAAAGCCUGCUUUGUCGAACACGAGCGAACGGAUGCUGAGAGUAUUCAUGUAAUUUGCCUCCUGCCAGUCCAGCUUGCUACUUCCGCCAAGAACUCGGGUUACCUCAGUCAACAGCAAGAUGGAAAUGUUCCAGAAGUCUUUCUUCUUCAUGUCGGUCACAAACUCGAGCGGUGGAUGAUAUCCUUUGAAAGGUUUUGCUGCUCCUGAAACUUAUUGUUAUUUCAGCUCUUCGUGGUUCUGAUUUUAAUAAUCUAACUUUCGUGACAGCGGAAAAGUACGAACUCUAUGCUUGGAAAGUUUCAAAUCAGUGUGGAGUACAAUUUCAGAAAGGAGAUCUUCUAUGCAGUGAAGGAAGCUUUAUUUUUCAUGUUGAUUAAUGUUUUCUUUCCUAUUUAGAGUUCUGUUAGUGAAUUACAAUUGCGUGAGCGAAGUUGCUGCGACUUCAGAUCUCCUUUGAAGUAAGCUGCUUCAUUUUUGGAUGUUGAUUGAUUUUUUUCUUUCUUUUUUUAGAGUUUACGUGAGCAAGUUGCUGAAACUGAAUUUGUAUUUUUACAAUCGAGGUAUGAUUUUUGGUUUUUUUUUUGGAAAAGGUGAAGCUACAGCCUAUGUAAGUUCAAUAGGGCGCUGUUGACGAGCUCCUCGAGGCUUCUGGAAUGCUUCGUAAGUCCCACAAAACCCGAAAACGUUAAGAAGUUUUCUUCGUCUGAGGCAGUCGCUGACAUUGCUUCCAGGGACGCCUCCACUUCACCGUCUUCUCUAAAACGUCGCAAGAACCUGGCGUCCUUUGCCAUCAAGCUGUUCAGAAGCUCUACGCUAUAUCGCCGGAUACGAUUCAAGCUCCUAGAAGGUGCUGUCUGGGAUAGAAGCUCUGUGAUUUUUUCGCAAAGCCGUGAUUGUUGCGAUAGCACGCCUUGUUCAAAGUUACGUGUGUCGAGCCAGGGGAUUAUGGCUGCUGCCAAACCGAUGGCUGCCUGCUGUUCCUUGUCCGUGGAUUCCAGCACCAUCUGGAUGAUGCGAGAUAUGGCUGCUCCAAGCUCCAACUUUUCUUCGUCGUUAAGGUCACCGCACAAGCUUCGCAAAAUUGUGGCUGCAUGGACUCCAACUGGCUUGGUGAGCAUGUUGAUCAAGUUCUUGAGGGUCUUGCUAACGCCACCUUUUCUGUAGCUUUUGUGCAUGAGGAGCCUCGAGCAAUUGUUGGGACACUGGAGAACGAGCACAACUAUGGCUUCCCCGGCUCCAAUGGCGAUGGUCAACUUGUUUGGUGCGGUUUCUCUCGCAAAUAUGGCCAUCAAGCUUUGGAUAACUCCUCCAGUCGCGCCAAUGCAAUCUCUAAGCUCGUCCUCGGUUGCUAGCAGCUUGAUCACGUCUACUGCCAGGUUUUGUAGCUCCAAAUCUUCGAGAUUGCAUAUCCUUUGAAGACUUCUUACUGCUGACACUACCGAAACUAUCUUCUUUCGCAGUGACCGUCCAGAAUCUCCUCCCACGCGAGCCAAUGUCCUCAAAAGCUCGAGUGAUCGACGGAAUACUUCUCUCGACGUUUGUGCUCUGGGGAAGUGCCAGUCUUCGUCUUGGAUAAAUUCAACCAGGAUGGAGAUAAGUCCGCUGGUGUUACCGAUUCGCACGCAUAUCCUGUGGUCCACGGCUAGCCCGUUGAGGAUAGUGAGUCUGUAGCUCUUUUCUUCUAGCACUUCCUCCUCUCUUGCGGCUAAAAGAGCAGUGAGGGCCUCCAGGGAUCCAGGGAUAGCGGAAAUCCUGAAGCAGUUACGGCGGUGACGAACCAGGUGCUUGAUUACUAUGGUUGCAGCUUUCCUGAUUUCGGCCUCACUAGGAUCCUUCCAGGUGAUCAUCUCUAAGAGUCUCUCCACAACUCCGGGCGUGGUACCAAUCCUCCGUCGCGUUUCUUUUAUUGAAUCUCCUUUUGAGACAAGAGCUGACAGUAUGUUGACGCUACCGAGCUGCUCUUCCCUUAUGCUUGACUGCAGCUUCUCGACGGUGAAAUCGAUAAGGUCCAUUCCCAGGCCAUCAAACACGCUUCCGUUCAGCGAUCGUGAGUACAAUGUGUACCAGUACUGCUUCAUGGUUUCAAUGUCGACUUGAUCAAGCUCACACGUUCGAGUGACUACUUCCAGCAACCUCUGGUAACGAAGCUUGAAUUCCCAAUAUGCUCUCUCCAGGAGGAAUAGCGACGUUUCUGCCAGCAUCAUCGCGUAAAACACCGUAAGUGCUUGCUCAGUGUUUUUUCCUUGGGCAUUGAAGCCGUGCUCGGCAAGUCGAUAUACUGAGAAACAUACGGUGACUGUUGCAGAAGCAAGCUGGAGCAAGUACAUGAAAAGGCUGAUGAUCCUGGUGGGGAGGAACUUUACAUACGGCAGGAGCGGGACGCUUCCCACGGACCAAGUUCUUCGGGCACCGAAUCCCUGGUAUAAAUCUUUCUUUACUGGUUUUUUGGAAAGUCGAUCUCUGCUAACGUUCUGUUCAGGGUGGUCACGGUCGAAGGCUGCAGAGAACGUCUGCCUUAAUCUGGCGCUCUUGUCGAACAGGAACGAUCUGAAGCCGAGAAUUCCCAAGCUGUAAUUUGCCUGCUGCCAUUCCAACUCGCUACUUCGACUGAAAACCCGCGUUCCUUCAGUCAGCAGCACGGCCGAUAUCGUCCAAAAGUCUUUGGCCUGAAUGUUGCUCACGAAUCCACCGAGGAGAACAACAGUUGCCCAGACGAAGGCCAGUUUCCCGAGGCCAGUGGCGAACUUUUCAAGAACUGCGAGCCUGAAAGCUAUCAGAUUGAGACGCUGCUCUGGUGAUUGGGAAUUAGCUGAAGGCUGGGCAGUGGAAGACUGCUGCCCUCGUCGUCUUAAAUAACUCCAUUUCACUGGAGCUGAAGGCUUGGGAGUGGAAGACUGCUGCUCGACUUCCGGAUGUGGAGAAAAAACCGACCACAACUCACUGGUGUUGAGGGUUCUAGUGCCUGAAGGUGGAGAAGGUGGAGUAGCGAGAGCAGAGCCGGAAGAAGGAACUUGAAUGGUUAUCUCGUCCGCAAAGUGAACGGUACUCUUGGGGGCACCGGCAGACUGUCUGCUGUUCCUCGAAUCCAUGUUUAGUGUUCGAGGAGUUCUGGGCAUUUGAGGAGGCAGCUGUUGCGUGGGUCCAGCUAAGACUGGUGACCGUGGUAUUGACGACUUCAAAGCCGCUUGAAUGUCUUUCUCAUGUUGCUGGCAUAAGCAAGUAAGCUAGAGACAAGGAGUGGAAUGAGAUUUGGGAUGAAAAAAUAUUCAUGAGAAAAGAACAAAGCUUGAAUUUUUUGACCCCUCAACGAAAGGAAGCUAAAGACUCGUAUAGGGAUCUACAAAACCUGUGCCAUGCUUGUCCCGCCAUGCAAACAUCACUCCCUUUCUUGCUCGUUAAAUCGCGGUAGGAUCUCUCAAGAACAUGACCACUAUACUGUUGAUGACUAUCGCUACAGUAGGAUGGACUUUGUGGUAUAGCUUGGGCUGGUGCUCUCCACAGAAGCAGCACGAACUACACAGGAGGAAGAAAGAAAAAGUAGAGAAGAAAGCGAAGAAGAAUCAAUGAAGAAGACGAAGAAAGGAGCUAAUUACUGCUGUCCGUGAAGAUGAGUGGAGAGCAACUUCAAAGAGCUAAAACUUUCACACGACAAACGGUCAGACGGGAAACUGGAGCGAUCUGGCACUAGUGCUGCGAUUCCAGAUCGAUCAAUGUUGUUUGACAACAAUGAUCUGACACACACAAGACUGUUUUCUUCGUCGGUAAAGCCCUUUCUACUGUUGCACAACAAACUAUCGCACAGCCGUGGAAGGGAAUAAUAGUAUAUAGAAACCUGUUGUAUCUUGUAUUGCUCUAUAAAUUCUCCAUAAAGUUAAAAGCUUCUUCUUCCAGGCCUAGAGAAAAGUCGGCUUCAAACACGCGGCAUGGCCAUCUUUUAGUGUGUACUGUGCAGAACUCUCCCUUUCAACCAGGUCUUAUAGUUUGCCACUUACUUGGGAAAGAAAAAACUGGAUAUUUCUUCUCACAUAGUGAUGUUUCUAUUGUAUACUUAAGAACCUUGUGUUGGCUCAAGGAGUAGUACUAUGAAGUGGUGUAACGAAUGCAAAGCUUGGACAGGGCAGACUGCUACUGAACACUAUUGCCACUGCCACAAGCCUCAAAUUUGCAGGGCAAUUAAGUUUAGCAUUUUGCAGGGAUUUUAAAUAAAUAAGGCUACAUAUAAAAAUAUAAUAUGUACUUCUAAUGUUGAAAUUGUUUAAUUUUCUUAUAUUAACACUUGAUCAUGAUCCUACACAUUUAUAAAACUAAGUCAACCCACAUCACUUGGUGUUGGGUUUCAUAUAUUAUAGUGAUAUUUAAAUAUGCCAUCUAAUAUAUUCUAGUUUAAUAUUUAAAUUUAUAAAACAGAAUAAGUUUAGGUAAAGUUGAUUAAUUUAUUAGUAAAGCAUUAAAAAUAAAGCUGUUCACUUAAAAAUAAAUAUUCACUCAACCUGACAAACAUACCGACCAACAUGAAACCAGAAUUCAAAUCUUUGGCAGUUUUGGAUGUUGAUCUAGUGAUGCCACCAAAGAUAUACAUCAUUUAUCAUGGGUACAACUUGUCAUUGGUUAAAUUAGCAAGAACACUAUGCAUUGCCAUCUGGAUAACAUAAAAUCUUUUGAUACCACACUUCCUAACAAGAGAUAGAACCUACUGUCAAAGUUUGGUCAGCACUCAACACCGAAUGUCCCAAUCUUUGCACCUAUGAAUUGUAAAGAAAGUAAAAAACUUACCAUUUUGGUGGCCAUGUGAAUCUGCCACAAUGAGAAGAAUGUAAGCUGCUUCUCUGAUGCCAGUGGUUGAGAAACUACAUGCCAAGCAAUUCUUCAAUAUGGUGCCCAACAUAAUCCUCCCAAUAGAAAGAUCACAAAGAAUGUCACCAUCCAAGCAUAAAUUUAAGCUAAGGAUCAAUUGCCACAGCUACUGCUGCAAGCUUGUGGUUUAGACAUGUUGCUAGAGGCAUCAGACCACCAUACUGUCGAAGCAACUUUGCCUUGAAUCCAAAGAAACAAAACAAAACAAAAUAAAAAUGAAGAAGAGAGAAAAAAAGUAUCUGCAAUCUUAGUGACUCUCCUAAAAUCUUUCCAUCGCUAGUGACUUGAUAAGAAGUUUGAGAAAAUGCAAUCUCACUAUAAGAAAAUCAACUUACAACAGCAGCUCCAGUGGCAUCAUAGCUCAUCUCAAUUCCCAAAAUAGGUAGCAAACCAGUAGCUAUAGUGAGAAAAUAAGGGUGUCAUGUAGGAAUUUGCACAUUUGGGAUGAAAUUGUGAGGUGCCAUUGCCAGGGAUUGGCAAGAGCACAUGCCAAAGCUCACAAGACCUUAAAUUGAGGGAAAGAAAUUCACAUAUUAAGCUUGAAUCACAACUUAAAGGCACCAAUAGUCAGGUUUGCUAUCACAGUAAACACUCUCCACUAAACUUUAGAACUUACCUUCUCAAUUUCAAAGGGUCUCCAUUACAAAAGGUUGAAUGUUAAUACCGGUUAACACUUUACAUGUGAUAUGUUGCCUAGCAAAUGCUAAGUGAGUAUAAAAAUCAAUAAUUUUAUACUGUUUUUUCCUUCUGAUAUCUCUAUAUACACACACAAUACUAUAUAACAUAGACCAUAUAUUUAGAAUAUUAAUAUAUCCCUAAAGUGAGAAAAGAAAAAUUAGUAAGUAAAUAUUAGUAAUAAAUAUAAUAUAUGCAAAGUACUACUUGGGAAUAUGAAUAUAUUUAGAAUAUUAAAAUUUUAUGAAACUUAAUACAAGGAAAUGACCAACAAAGUUAGCCGCCCUUGCUACUCUGGGAGUCACCCAGCUUACAAAAGUGUAAAAACAAAAAUUGUUAAGAAUAACUCUUUUAUAGUUAUUAGAUUAUAAAUAUAUUUAGUCAAAAAAAUUAAAUGAAGAAUUACUAAAAAAUAUUUUUCUUAAUUAGAUGUUACAUGUAAAGUAUGUUUUUACUUGGAGUCAAACAAAUUUAGAAUCCUGAAAUGGUAAAAAACUAAUAUAUUAAUACCCAGACUAAAAUAAAAGUAAAGAAGAAUUACUAAGAUUAACUAUUAUUAAUUUGGGAAAGCAUUAUUUAAUUAUUAUGUGCUUACUUGGAAUAUGAAUAAAUAUAUAACUAAAACUUUAAGAACAUUAAUAUAUUACUCAGAUCCUAUAGAGGAUUGCUCAAUUAAAAAAAAACAGCACUAUUGAAAAAUUAAAGUCUAACCUAGAAAUAAAAAAUUAUAUAUACCCUUAAACUCAAAAAUAUUAAGAACACUAAUACUACUAUGCAGACCCAAGUAAAAUUAAGAAAAGAAUUACAAAAAAUAAAUAAUAUACAUAUUAAACACAAACUAUAAAUUCAAAACCUAAUAAACUAUAUUUGUUCUUAGUCAAAAGAUUUAUAAACGUGUUUAAUGGUAACUGUCAACCUCAUGUUUGAAAUGUAAGUUUCAUGCCCAUAUAUAAUUGCUGUAAUUGCCCAAUCAAUAUAUCAUCAAUACAUGAUUACAAAGAAGAAAAAUGUAUGAGAGGCUAAAUGGCAUCUUCCAGUUCCUCUCCAGUGCUCACCUCUGUCGUCACUAGUGGAGGCGCUGGGGGCUCGCAUCCUAUGGUGGAUCUAGAGCCUGCAGCUCCAGAUCUGCUGCUGGUGCCUGUUCUUGCGGGGAUUGGGAGCCUCAACUUCACUGGCCAUUUACUCGCUCUCCUUUAGGGCUAUGCCCUUUCCCUAAAGCAGCGGUAGAGAUCUUCCAUGCCAGGAGCAACAGUGGCGAGACUGUAGAAAGGCAUCCCAUUAAGCUCUGGAUCUACUGCUGGCACUUGUUCCCAUGGAGAUUGCUGUGGCGAUUGAGGGAGAUCUUUGGGUGGGAGAUCUCUACCUGGGAGAUCUGGGAGCUGCAGCUUCACUAACCAUUUACUUGAGCGCAUUGCUCUCUAAUUUCAGGAAAGACACAAUCUAGUCAACACUUUGCAUGUGCCACAUGUCACAAUGCUUUUUUCUCUUGCCCCACACAGCUUGGCCGCCUCCCAUUGGCCGAGAGCAAACAUCAGCACGAUUAUUCACUAAGACAUGGUUAAAGAAAUAACCCCUUUACAGUUACCCCCCAUCGGACGGCUGCAAUUGGCUGAAUCCGGCGGCCCAGAAAGUUUGGCACUCCCACUUUAUUAUGAUAGAUUCUUUGGGCUGAACAAUUUUGUAGCAUUGAACAUGCCUAUAUCCUUUUUUAUUCUGGCUAGCAUAUCAAUGUAUAGUUUCUAAACACACUCUUUGUUUAAAUCUAAGCAAGAGCUCAUGCUCCCAUCUCUUUUGCUCUCUGGAAUAGGAGUAUAAUUUAAGGCAUGUUUAUGUUAUUCCCCUUUAGUAUCUAUAAACUUGAUAAAUUCAUCUUUAGUAGCCUCCACAAAAUUAAGUGUUUCACACCAAAAGUCUCUUUUAGAAAUUUUCUUCUGAUACUUUUCAAAGUACCAUUUAAAUACCUAGCAAUGCUAGCAAUAUCCACAAUUUUAACUUUGAAAGAUUUUGUUCAGACUAUUCAAUUUUAGAAGUAUAUCAGAUAGCAUAUGAAUAGCAAAUUGCAUUGUGUAAUUUGUCAAAAAUUGAUAUAUCUUCAUAGAAGAGAAUUAAAAUUCUAUAAGAAGACUUGGUAUUAUGAUGUUCAUUUUCUUUAAGACUUUCUCAUGAGAUAACUAAUGUACACCGUGGAUUUGAAGUAUACCAAAUGCAAAUAUAUUCAUAGCAUCUUCUAGAGGCUUAAAAGUUAUAACUCUUUUUCUAGAAGUAUGCAACUAUUUAUAAAUUUGAUUGCACAACUUUUGAACAACCACAAACUUAAGAAAUGUAUACACAAUUUCAAUAGCCACUAAACUUUAUCUAUGCACUAAGUAAUGCACUCCAAGCAAGUGUGGAAUGUUAUGUUUCAAUCCUGUCAUUAGGCUAAAUUGUUCUUUAACCAUAAUAAAAGCUCCAUCAGUUUUAAUAGCAACACAUUUUCCCUUUUUAAGGUUCAUUUCUUCCAAAACCUUUUGAUGGCCUCAUAUUUACUUACAGCCUUUAGUUACCAUCAAUUUCAAAAAACAAGUUUUAUUCGGACUUUUUUCUUCUUCUUGCAUAUGGAAAGAGAUGUAUAUGAUAAGAUGAGCUUUCAAACUUCUAUUAGUAUUGUUAUCCACUAUAAUAGAAAAUUAAGGACUAGCUUGAAUAUCUUGGCAAACAUCUUUCCAUCACACAUUUUUUAUGCAUUUUAAAAACUUUUUCUCACUCAUAGCAUUUACACAAGUCCUAUACUCUAUGGUGAUUAGCAUAUAGGGCAUUCCCAUAAACCUGCUAAAUUCACACAAAGAUUUAUAGCUUUGUAAAGGUAAUCCCUUAUUCACAAUGAAGUACAUAUGUUGCAUUAAGGAAAUCAAUUUGUUCUUGUAUUGAUUUUCUUGAGUAGUAACAUAUUUAGGGAUAGAUAACCCUUUCUUUUUCUUUGUUUCCCAAAUAACCAUAACUAGUUGAUGUUGUUUAGAAUUGUUAUGCUUUUUUAAAAUUGAUUUUUGAAGAGUCAAAGAACCAUCUAUACUAAAAGGAUUAUCUUUUUAGCAUAUACAUAUGCCGUACAUUUUAUUCUUUGCUUGCCUUCAACAUCCACUAUAAAAUACACCCAAGGAAAAUUGAAUUUCCACUCAAUUUUGAAUGUUCUAUUCUUUUUCCUUUUUUGAUUAGUUGAAGUAUUAGUUUUUUCUUUUGUUGUUGAAAGAUCUUCAUCCUCUAAUCUAAUUUUAAGUCUUUUACCAAAAAGGGAAUCAUGAAGCUCUUGCCUUGCAAUAUUUUGCUAAUUUAUCUUUCUUUUCUCCCUCCCAUACACAAUAGCAAAGAAUGCUUCAAUCCCAUGUUAUUGCUGUCAACUUCAUUGAAUUCAGGUGGUUAGACACCAGGAUAUUCUUACAAUAUUCUAAUAAUAUUCAAUAGAAUAUUAUCUGUACUGCAAUGUGCGAAUUUUCUUUGCCCUGCAAGUGGCAACACUAAAAUAUUUCUAUACUUCAUUAGUGCAAAGUGAAAAUUGAACAAUUCUUUCAAGUAGCAAGGCAAAUUAGAAAUUAGUCUUCAAAUGCAAGGUAAACAUGCCUUUGCAAGGCUUUGCAAGGUGCAAAUUUGAGACCUGCAUUGUCAUCCCUAAAUGUGAUUUGGGUGCCACAGUUCUAAAGAGACUGCUGCUAUCGGAGAGCUUACGGGGAUGUUGAGAUAUUGCUGUAAGUUCCUUCAUGCACUUCAUAGUGAUAGUAAAUGCCUUGUGAUGGCAUCUUAAACUCGUACCGUGGCAUCUGCAUUGCCAGUUCAAAGAUUAAAUAGCCCACAACCAAGAACAAAGUGAAGAAAAUGAGAAAACUCUAAGAAUGUUGCUGUCCCCUUAAGUUUCUCUGGCCAUAAAUUCGCUGCUACAAUAGCUUAUAUCCUUUCUACGCUUUAAGUUUCAGUGCCCGUAGCGGAUAGAUGUCGUUUGGACACUGUUGACCACAAUUGACUAUCGUUGACCAAUGGACCGUUGAAUGGUUUGUCUUUGCUGACUAUGCUGGAUAUUGCCAGGGCUAGGGUUCUUCGAUGGGGCUCAAGCUGCGAGCAGUGCCGAUCACGGAGGUGAAUUUCCGGCCUUUUGGCCAGCUCCUGGGAAAGAUCGGCGACGGAUGCGAGUAUGGAUCGGGAGACGCGCAGCUCAAUCUCGCGAAUGGGAUUCCCAGGUAGUGCAGGCAAAAUGUGGCCGAAAUUUCCAGCGGCUCAGUAGUGAUUGAGUGAGUGAUGGUUCCUUUGCGCAGAUUCUACCUCAUGGAGCUCAAGAAAACGGGGCUGCGAUUCAAAAGGAUAACGCAUCACGCCAGGGUCACGCAGUGUCUGGGAUCAGUGGGAGCUCAUCCUUGGUACAUGGCGGUCUCUCUUCCCAGCAUUGUGGAUCCUUCAUCGUAACACGAGGGCGCUGUUCGAUCCAACGCUGGUGGCCACUACUAUUUACCUCCCUCUCAUGCAAGCGUCCAGGUUUUCAAGAUAGAUGGUCCUCGCUUCAUCAAGCUAAACGAAGGAACUUGGCACGCUGGUCCUCUCUUCGAUGAUCGAGAUUCGAUGGUCUUCUACAACUUGGAGCUCAGUGACACCAACGUAAGAUCAUUUGAUCGAGCUUGUAGUUACCAUGACUUAUGUUUUCUCCUUUUUCUUGUUGCAGGUUGUGGAUCACACUACCCACGUGUUUGAGGACGACGUACUGAUCGAAGAUUGAGGUACAGAGCCUUGGCAUUUCAUGUGAUAUUCGAACGUGAUUUUUGUGCUAGGUGAUGGCGAGCUUAAACACUUUUUUGCGUGUCUAGAAAAGCAAAUGGUGGAAAUGAAACAAGUUCUUUGCGAGCUAAGAAUUUCAUGUCCCUUGCCAUCAAGUUGUCGAGGAGCUCCUUUUGUGCCUCGGGACAUUGACUAGUAGUUACAAAAGGAGGCUGAUGAUCCUGGUCGGAAGAAAAUUUACGAACGGGAUGACUCCCACAGACCAUGGCGUCAACUCCCUGGUAUAAAUCUUUCUUAAUUGAACUGUAACACUGUUAGAAUUCUGUGCAGGGUGCUGAUUAUGGUCGAAAGCCGCCUGCUUUCUGUCGAACACGAGCGAGCGGAUGUUGAGAGUAUUCAUGUAAUUUGCCUCCUGCCAGUCCAGCUCGCUACUUCCGCCAAGAACUCGGGUUCCCUCAGUCAACAGCAAGAUGGAAAUGUUCCAGAAGUCUUUCUUCUUGAUGUCGGUCACAAACUCGAGCGGUGGAUGAUAUCCUUUGAAAGGUUUUGCUGCUCCUGAAACUUCUUGUAUUUCACCUCUUCGUGGUUCUGAUUCUAAUAAUGUAACUUUCGUGACAGCGGAAAAGUACGAACUCUAUGCUUGGAAAGUUUCAAAACAGCGUAGUGGUGACCACAAUUUCAGAAAGGAGAUCUUCUAUGAAGUAAAGGAAGCUUUAUUUUUCAUGUUGAUUCAUGUUUUCUUUCCUAUUUAGCGUUCUGUUAGUGAAUUACAAUUGCGUAAGCGAAGUUGCUGCGAGUUCGGAUCUCCUAUGAAGUAAGCUUCUUCUUCUUUGGAUGUUGAUUGAUUUUUUUCUUUCUUUUUUUAGAGUUUACGUGAGCAAGUUGCUGAAACUGAAUUUGUAUUUUCUUCUUUACAGCAUGACACAUUCGAGGUAUGAUUUUUGGUUUUUUUUUGGAAAAGGUGAAGCUACAGCCUAUGUAAGUUCAAUAGGGCGCUGUUGACGAGCUCCUCGAGGCUUCUGGAAUGCUUGGUAAGUCCCACAAAACCCGAAAACGUUAAGAAGUUUUCUUCGUCUGAGGCAGUCGCUGACAUUGCUUCCAGGGACGCCUCCAUUUCACCGUCUUCUCUAAAACGUCGCAAGAACCUGGCGUCCUUUGCCAUCAAGCUGUUCAGAAGCUCUACGCUAUAUCGCCGGAUACGAUUCAAGCUCCUAGAAGGUGCUGUCUGGGAUAGAAGCUCUGUGAUUUUUUCGCAAAGCCGUGAUUGUUGCGAUAGCACGCCUUGUUCAAAGUUACGUGUGUCGAGCCAGGGGAUUAUGGCUGCUGCCAAACCGAUGGCUGCCUGCUGUUCCUUGUCUGUGGAUUCCAGCACCAUCUGGAGGAUGGGAGAUAUGGCUGCUCCAAGCUCCAACUUUUCUUCGUCGUUAAGCUCACCGCACAAGCUUCGCAAAAUUGUGGCUGCAUGGACUCCAAUUGGCUUGGUGAGCAUGUUGAUCAAGCUCUUGAGGGUCUUGCUAACGCCACCUUGGCUGUAGCUUUUGCGCCUGAGGAGCCUCGAGCAAUUGUUGGGACACUGGAGGACGAGCAAAAAUAUGGCUUCCCCGGCUCUCAUGGCGAUGCUCAACUGGUGGCUGUUCGGUGCGGUUUCUCUCGCAAAUAUGGCCAUCAAGCUUUGGAUAACUCCUCCAGUUGCACCAAUGCAAUCUCUAAGCUCGUCCUCGGUUGCUAACAGCUUGAUCACGUCUACUGCCAGGUCCUGUAGCUCCAAAUCUUCGAGAUUGCAUAUCCUUUGAAGACUUCUUACUGCUGACACUACCGACACUAUCUUCUUUCGCAGAGACCGUCCAGAAUCUCCUCCCGCGCCAGCCAAUGUCCUCAAAAGCUCGAGUGAUCGACGGAAUACUUUUCUCGACGUUCGUACUUCGAGGAAGUUCCAGUCUUCGUCUUGGAUAAACGCAACCAGGAUGGAGAUAAGUCCGCUGGUGUUACCGAUUCGCACGCAUGUCCUGUGGUCCACGGCUAGCCUGUUGAGGAUAGCGAGUCCGUAUCUCUGUUCUUCUGGCACUAUCUUCUCUCCUGCGGUUAAAAGGGAAAUGAUGGCUUCCAGGGAUCCAGGGAUAGCGGAAAUCCUGAAGCAGUUACUCCGGUGACGAAGCAGGUACUUGAUUACUAUCGUUGCAGCUUUCCUGAUUUCGGCCUCACUAAGAUCCUUCCAGGUGAUCAUCUCUAAGAGUCUCUCCACAACUCCACAACUACACAGGAGGAAGAAAGAAAAGGUAGAGAAGAAAGUGAAGAAGAAUCAAUGAAGAAGACGAAGAAAGGAGCUAAUUACUUCUGUCCGUGAAGAUGAGUGGAGAGAGCAACUUCAAAGAGCUAAAACUUUCACACGACAAACGGUCAGACGAGAAACUGGAGCACUAGUGCUGCGAUUCCAGAUUGAUCAAUGUUGUUUGACAACAAUGAUCUGACACACACAAGACUGUUUUCUUCGUCUCGGUAGCGCCCUUUCUACUGUUGCACAACAAACUAUUGCACAGCCGUGGAAGGGAAUAAUAGUAUAUAGAAACCUGUUGUAUCUCGUACUCUUGCUCUAUAAAUUCUCCAUAAACUUAAAGCUUCUUCUUCCAGGCCUAGAGAAAAGUCGGCUUCAAACACACGGCAUGGCCAUCUUUUUGUGUGUACUGUGCAGAACUCUCCCUUUCAACCAGGUCUUAUAGUUUGCCACUUACUAAGCUUAGGUGGUGGGAAAGAAAAAACUGGAGUAGUGAUGUUUCUAUCUUAUACUUAAGAACCUUGUGUUGGCUCGAGGAGUAGUACUACGAAGUGGUGUAACAAACGCAAAGCUUGGACAGGGCAGAUUGCUACUGAACACUAUUGCCAUUGCCACAAGCCUCAAAUUUGCAGGGCAAACUUUCUUUUCCUUCUUGUGAAUAUUACAAUUUUCUUUCAUUGUGCAAGAUAAAAAUUAAUUUAUACCUCCAAAUAUAUAGAUAUUUAUAUAUAAAAAACUUUUUAAUACAACUAAUUCAAUUACACAAAAUCUUUGUUUGCUUUUUUUGAUGACAUGCAUCAUAAACAUGCCCCUAAUUGAUCUUGUUGUACUCAUUAUCACCAUUUAAAUAAAUGAAUAUCAAAUCAUUUAAAGUUUCAAUAUUUAAAUAGCAUUUUGAAGUAGUUUUUAACUGAUUUUGAUAAGAAAAUCCACCUUCAGCACAAGUAGUGCUCACAGGUAUCAAAGAGAUAAUUUUGCAUAAUUCUAUCAAAUUAAAACAUAUAUCUAUCAUGGAAAUAUCAUCUCUGCAUAUUUGCCAAGCGACUAGCUUAUUUUUUGUCAACAGAUUACUUUGCAUAAUAGUUACAAACUUUGUGAAUUCUCCUUUACAUUUUUCCCCAUCAACAAAAGCACCAUACUAGUUCAGUAAAAUAUUUAGCCAUUUGUAAAAGUUGUUAUCCAAUUUUUCCUUAUUUGAAUAAUUCUUUGGGCUAAACAGUUUUGUAACAUUGAAUAUGCCUAUAUCUUUUCCCAUUCUAGCUAACAUAUCAAUGUAUAGUUUUUGAACGCAGUCCUUAUUUAAAUUUAAGUAAGAGCUUAAGCUCCCAUCUCCUUUGCUCUCUAGAAUAAAAGUAUAAUUUAAGACAUGCUUAUGUUAUUCCUUUUCAGCAUUUAUAAACUUGAUAAAUUCAUCUUUAGUAACCUCCACAAAAUUACUCAAGUGUUUCACACUAAGAGUCUCUUUCAGAAAUUUUCUUUUGAUACUUUUCAAAGUACCAUAUAAUUACCCAACAAUGCUAGCAAUAUCCACAGUUUCAACUUUAAAAGAUUUUGUUCAAACUAUUUAAUUCCAGAAGUAUAUUAGGUAGCAUAUGAAUAAAUGAUCAAUCUUUUUAAAACUUCCCCAUGAAAUAAUCAACGUACACUGUGGAUUUGAAGCAUACCUAAUGUAAAUAUAUUUAUAGCAUCUUCUAGAGGCCUAAAAGCCAUGACUCUUUUUCUAAAAGUAUGCAACCAUUUAUAAAUUUGAUUGCAUAGCUUUUGAACAAUCAUAAGUUUAAAAAAUGCAUGCACAACUUCAAUAGCCACUAAACUUUAUUUAUGUGUUAAGUAAUGCACUCCAAGCAAGUGUGGAAUGUUAUGUUUCAAUAUUGUCACUAGACCAAAUUAUUCUCCAACCAUAAUAAAAGCUCCAUCAAUUUCAAUAACAACACAUUUUCCCUUUUUAAAGUUCAUUUCUUCCAAAACCUUUUUGAUGGCUUUAUAUUUAUUUACAACCUUUAGUUACCAUCAAUUUGAAAAAGUAAGUUUUAUUCAGACUUUUUUCUUUUUCUUGCAUAUGGAAAGAGAUGUAUAUGAUAAGAUGAGAUUCCAAACUUUUAUCAGUAUUGUUAUCCACCAUAAUAGAAAAGUAAGGACUAGCUCAAAUAUUUUGGCAAACAUCUUUCCAUCACAUAUCUUUUUUGCAUUUUACAAACUUUUUUCCACUCAUAGCAUUCAUAUAAGCCUUAUACUCUAUGGUGAUUGGCAUAUAGGGCAUUUCUAUAAACCUAUUAAAUUCACACAAAGAUUUAUAGCUUUGUAAAGGUAAUCCUUUAUUCACAAUGAAGUACAUGUGUUGCAUUAAGGAAAUCAAUUUAUUUUUGUGUUGAUCUUUUUGAGCAGUAAUAUAUUUAAGGAUAGAUAACCCUUUCUUUUUUCUUUACUUCCCAAAUAACUAUAGCUAAUUGAUGUUAUUUGGAAUUAUUAUGCUAUUUUAAAAUUGGUUUUUGAAAAGUCAAAGAACCAUCCUUACCAAAAAAAUUAUCCUUUUUAGCAUAUACAUAUAUUAUACAUUUUAUUUUUUAAUUGCCUUCAACAUCUAUCACAAGAUACACCCAAGGAAAACUAAGUUUCCACUCAAUUCUGAAUGUUUUAUUCUUUUCCUCUUUUUAUUGGUUGUAAUAUUAGUUUCUUCUUCUGUUGUUGAAAAAUCUUCAUCCUCUGAUCUAAUUUUAAAUCCUUCACCAAAAAGAGAAUUAUAAAGCUUUUGCCUUGCAAUAUUUUGUUAAUUUAUAUUUUUUUUUUUCCCUCUCAUAGGCAAUAGCAAAAAAUGCUUCAAUCCUAUGUUGUUGCUGUCACUAUCGCUGCUUUCCCAUUUGCCCUAGUCCUAAUCCAUGUCAACUUCAUUGAAUUCAGGUGGUUAGACAUCAGGAUAUUUUCACAAUAUUCUUAAUAAUAUUAGAUAGAAUAUUAUCUAUACUGCAAUGUACGAAUUUUCUUUGCCCUGCAAGUGGCAACUAAAAUAUUUCUAUACUUCAUUAGUACAAAGUGAAAAUUGAACAUUUCUUUCAAAUAGCAAGGCAAAUUAGAAAUCAGUCUUCAAAUGCAAGGUAAACAUGCCUUUGCAGGGCUUUGCAGGGCUUUGUAGGGUGGAAAUUUGAGGCCUACAUUGUCUCCCUAAAUGUGAUUUGGGUGCCAUAGUUCUAAAGAGAUUGUUGCUAUAGAAGAGCUUACAAGGAUGUUGAGAUAUUGCUGUAAGUUCCUUCAUGCACUUCACAGUGAUAGUAAAUGCCUUGUGAUGGCAUCUUAAACUCGUACCAUGGCAUCUGCAUUGCCAGUUCAAAGAUUAAAUGGCCCACAACCAAGAACAAAGUGAAGAAAAUGAGAAAACUCUAAGAAUGUUGCUGUCCCCUUAAGUUUCUCUGGCCAUAAAUUCGCUGCUACAAUAGCUUAUGUCCUUUCUACGCUUUAAGUUUCAGUGCCCGUAGCGGAUAGAUGUCGUUUGGACACUGUUGACCACAAUUGACUAUCGUUGACCAAUGGACCGUUGACUUGGCUGACUAUGCUGGGUUCGAUUCCUGCGCUGGGCGAUAUUGCCAGGGCUAGGGUUCUUCGAUGGGGCUCAAGCUGCGAGCAGUGCCGAUCACGGAGGAUAAUUUCCGGCCUUGGCCAGCUCCUGGGAAAGAUCGGCGACGGAUGCGAGUAUGGAUCGGGAGACGCGCAGCUCAAUCUCGCGAAUGGGAUUCCCAGGUAGUGCAGGCAAAAUGUGGCCGAAAUUUCCAGCGGCUCGGUAGUGAUUGAGUGAGUGAUGUUUCCUUUGCGCAGAUUCUACCUCAUGGAGCUCAAGAAAACGGGGCUGCGAUUCAAAAGGAUAACGCAUCACGCCAGGGUGACGCAGUGUCAAGCUAAACGAAGGAACUUGGCACGCUGGUCCUCUCUUUGGUGAUCGAGAUUCGAUGGUCUUCUACAACUUGGAGCUCAGUGACACCAACGUAAGAUCAUUUGAUCGAGCUUGUAUGACCUUUUUUAUGUUCUUUUUAUUUGCAGGUUGUGGAUCACACUAACGACGUACUGAUCGAAGAUUGAGGUACAGAGCCUUGGCAUUUCAUGUGAUAUUCGAGCGUGAUUUUUGUGCUAGGUGAUGGCGAGCUUAAACACUUUUUUGCGUGUCUAGAAAAGCAAAUGGUGGAAAUGAAACAAGUUCUUUGCGAGCUAAGAAUUUCAUGUCCCUUGCCAUCAAGUUGUCGAGGAGCUCCUUUUGUGCCUCGGGACACUGACUAGUAGUUGAAGGAUGUACAAGAUGAGGCUGAUGAUCCUGGUCGGAAGAAAAUUUACGAACGGGAUGACUCCCACAGACCAUGGCGUCAACUCCCUGGUAUAAAUCUUUCUUAAUUGAACUGUAACACUGUUAGAAUUCUGUGCAGGGUGCUGAUUAUGGUCGAAAGCCUGCUUUCUGUCGAACACGAGCGAACGGAUGCUGAGAGUAUUCAUGUAAUUUGCCUCCUGCCAGUCCAGCUCGCUACUUCCGCCAAGAACUCGGGUUACCUCAGUCAACAGCAAGAUGGAAAUGUUCCAGAAGUCUUUCUUCUUCAUGUCGGUCACAAACUCGAGCGGUGGAUGAUAUCCUUUGAAAG